CAUGUGAGACUGGCAAGCAUAAGCUACAGCUUCUUCAUUCCGUGACCAAGAGCAGAACGUGUUCUGUGGAGAGAACGCCUUUUGAUCACUGUACUGACCAUAAUCCACAAAUGCUAAUUAAGUAAUGAUGUAUUGCUGUCAGCUGCAUGAAUGUUAUCUGAUUUAAGUAUUGUAUACUCCUGUAGCUAAAAGAAUAUAAAAACCCUGUAACAACAAUAAACUUCGCUUCUUGCGCCA